GAUUCAUAAUAACUUAACGAAUCGCAUGGCCUUGCGCCGGCGAUGGUUCAUUCAAAUUUCUGCCCUAUCAACUUUCGAUGGUAAGAUAGAGGCUUACCAUGGUCUUAACGGGUAACGGAGAAUUAGGGUUCGAUUCCGGAGAGGGAGCCGGAGGAACGGCUACCACAUCCAAGGAAGGCAGCAGGCGCGCAAAUUACCCAAUGCUAAUUCAGCGAGGUAGUGACAAUAAAUACUGAUACGGGGCUCUUUCGGGUCUCGUAAUUGGAAUGAGUACAAUCUAAAUCCCUUAACGAGGAACAAUUGGAGGGCAAGUCUGGUGCCAGCAGCCGCGGUAAUUCCAGCUCCAAUAGCGUAUAUUAAAGUUGUUGCCGUUAAAAAGCUCGUAGUUGAACCUUGGAUCUGGCUGAUCUGUCCUCCUAAUCGAGCGCACGGAUUCGGUCGGAUCUUUCCUUCUGGGGAGCCCUAUGCCCUUCACUGGGUGUAGUGGGGAACCAGGACUUUUAC
rnacentral:rRNA from 1 species